ensembl:lncRNA
GAUUACGUAAACAAACUUUUUCAAACAAAAUUUUUCGCGUGCUCGCCAAAUUCGAACAUGUGAAUGAUUUUGAGUCAAAAUCGAUUAGUUACAUUUGUUUUUUAUAAGAAGUAACGGGAUAACUUAAAACGAAUAUAGCACAUACUCAUAUGGAUUACUUUUUUUUUUGGAAUUUAUUUAUUUAUUUAUUUGAAUCAUGCUUCCAUCUGUCAUCCGGGUGUCUCACUGAUGAAAACACCAGUUUGAAGCUACAUCAGGCAUCCAUUCACUGCAGAGGAUUCAUUGCUGAGCAAGUGAUGGAAUGCUAAUUUCCUCCAAAUUAGUUCCGAUAAAGAAACAAACUCAUCUACAUCUCGGAUGACCUGAGGAAACUAAUGUCGGCAGAGCAGAGAUAGCUCAUCUUGUCACCCACUGAAUCAUAAUGAGGAAAUUUUUUUUUUUUACCUGUCCAUGCAUUUCUCUAAAUAAGCUCUUCUAAUAUUGGGAGGCAGCAUUGGUGAAAUUGAAGCCAUGAGAUGUAUAAAACUUUGAUUUUAUGGUGUAUUGGAUGUUCUGUCACAGGAUAAUGCUUGUAAUCAGCAGUAUCGGAGAACAAGAAUGUCAUUGUCUCACCCCUCAUUUCCUGUCCGGUUCAGAUGGCCAGAGUGAGGCAAAUAUUAGAUCAACAUGUAUGGAAAUAUAUUAUUACAAAGAGAAGCUGUUACGCCGCAGACACCUCUGCAAGAGUCCAAGUGAGAUUUGUGAACCGCCGCUGCAAGGAAAAGGACCUCUGGUGUCAAGGUCAAACUUCUUUGGAACAAUAAAUUUAUUGUACGUAAAACUUUGGAUUAGGUGAGCAUGUGUCUUUUUUUUUCUCUCUCUCACAUACACAGAUGGCUGUACAUUCACAUCAGGGCUUGUUUAAUAACAUGAAGAGACACAACUUCUGCCGCUCUCUGUCAUCCUAAUUACAUUCGUCUUUCUGACUUCUAUGAAAGCCUCUCUGAAACUCAUUUCACUGGAGACAAGGAAACACGAGCUGGAAGCUUUGACGGAGCUCUCAUUUUGUCUGUCUAAAGGGCCAAGGGGCCUCUUGUUUGAAACAAAGAGCACUAAAUUACAGCGUGUCAUCACCUCUCUCCAGAAAUUCUUGAUUGUAGCCAGGGCGGCUUUGGACGUCCAAGGCAUUAAUGGCAAAAAUAUAUGCCAUCAGCCCCCACUGAUGAAGUACGGAAACUACCUGAAUAGCCAUUUAUUGGAAUGAAAGGAACGCCAUGCCAAUGAGUUGUGAUUGCUUCCAUAAUAAUGGAAUGUUCCUGAAUUGUUCUGAUUGGCACGGCUAUUGGAUGCUCAAGUGUGACCAAUUACACCCAUCAUCCUGUCACAUUAUUUUUUAUUUAUUUAUUUUCACAUUUUUCUGCCUCAAACUGCCAGAUUAAUUGGAAGGUAGAGUCCCCUUUUCAAAGUUUCCAAACUUGUUGCAACUCGCCACAAUAGCGGGAGUACUUUUGCAGACUUUGACAGCAGCACGCUGCAUGGCGGCUGAUACAGAGAAGUCAUCAUCCGUCCACUUUGAGACUCCACUCCAUGGCAUUAACAGCCACCUAAGCGAGGAAAGAGCCUCGCACUUUGUGAAGGUUUCCUGUGGACAAUUGCAGGUCACGGCUCAAAGCUCUCGCGGCCUGUCGGUCUGAUGAGAGGGGAGUACGUGGUUUUUGUUGAGCCAUUUUACAGAGCAUUAGAACUGCUGGGCACUGCUGCGCCUUCUUACAUGACAACACUGACUGAGUCACAACCGCCGGGGCGGUGGUUCUGCUGUGCUCAGUAGUACGGAAUAAAAUCCAUGCCGAAUAUCUACCGCUUGUGGUA